rnacentral:misc_RNA from 1 species
GUUCUCAAAGUACUUGAAGAUGGGGUACACCUGGUACUCCGGGUUCGCCUUGAGGUGCCUGAAGAUGGUGAUGUACCUCCAGUACCCAAUCUUCUCCGACAGGUAGGUCGCGUAGAAGAUGAACUUGGGCUUGAAGAAGGUGUACUUCCUAGCCUUGGUCAAGAACCCGAGGUCCAGUGCCAAGUUGAAAUCAGACAGCCCCUUGUUCAAGAACCCAGCGUGCCGGGCCUCAUCCCUGGACAUGAGCGAGAAGAUCUCAGCCACCACUGGGUUUGUUUUCUUGAGCCUGCGGCCGAGCUCCUUGUAGAGGAGGAACCCGGAGAACUCCGCGGUGCAGGAGCGCUCGAGGAACUCGACGAAGAUCUGCCUGAGAGGCCCCUCCAUCUUGUCGGCGGCGGCCUUGAACUCCGGGUUGCGGACGAAGUGGGUCUGGUUAUAGUCCGUCUUGAACUCCUGCAGCAGCGCGUCGAACUCCUCCUGGUUGAGCUGCUUGUUGAUCUCGGCGUUGAACAGCCGCUCCAUCUCGUCGAAGUCCGUGGUGUAGAACCGCGGCGUCAGCAGCGUCUCCUGGAUCUCCGUCUUCCCGCGCUUCUUGGGCGUCCCGGGCUUCGCCGCGGGCGGCGCCGCGGCUGACGACGCCACGCGGAACCGCACGAUGCGCCUGGAAGACACGACGCGGGGCUUGGCGGCGGAGAGGCCGCGCAUUGCCGCCGGGUUGAGGAGGGAGAGCUCCAUGGCGGAGGAGGCCAUUUCGUCAAACACCUGGC